UACGGGGGGGGCAAGCGUUGUUCGGAAUUACUGGGCGUAAAGGGCUCGUAGGUGGCCAACUAAGUCAGACGUGAAAUCCCUCGGCUUAACCGGGGAACUGCGUCUGAUACUGGAUGGCUUGAGAUUGGGAGAGGGAUGCGGAAUUCCAGGUGUAGCGGUGAAAUGCGUAGAUAUCUGGAGGAAUACCGGUGGCGAAGGCGGCAUCCUGGACCGACAUUGACGCUGAUGAGCGAAAGCUAGGGGAGCAAACGGG
rnacentral:rRNA from 1 species